rnacentral:lncRNA from 1 species
GUUUUUGUUGUUAUACAAGACCAGCCUUAGUCUGUGGCAAUCUGAUAGGGUGCAUGUGAUUAUUUCAAACUGAUUGUUGAGGUCUGUUUUGUGACUGAUUAGAUGGUCAAUUUUGGAGAAGGUACUAUAAGGUUCAGAGAUGGUAUAGUCUUUUGUUUUAGGGUGAAAUGUUCUAUAGAUAUGUUUUUAAUCCGUUUGAUUCGUAACUUGUUAGUUUCACUGUGUCUCUGUUUAGUUUCUGUUUCCAUGAUAUGUCCAUUGAGAAGAGUGGGGCGUUGAAGUCUCCCACUAUUAUUGUGUGAGGUGCAAUGUGUGCUUUGCGCUUUAGUAAAGUGAGUUUGUGUACCCUUGCAUUUGUAGCAUAGAUGUCCAGAAUUGAGAGUUCGUCUUGGUAGAUUUUUCCUUUGAAGAGUCCUUCAAAGAAAGGAAGUAUUCUUCCUUAUCUUUUUAUUAAACGUCGAUUUUAUUCAAUAUUAGAAUGGCUACUUUUUCUUUUUUUGUUUCUUUUCUUUUUUUUUUUUUAACCCUCCUUCCUCUCCAGCUUGUUUCUUGGGACCAUUUGCUUGGAAAAUUGUUUUCUAGCCUUUUACUCUAAGGUAGCGUCUGACUUUGUCACUGAGGUGCAUUUCCUGCAUGCAGCAAAAUGCUGGGUCCUCUUUACAUAUCUAGUCUGUUAGUAUAUGUCUUUUUUUUUUAUAAUUAGUAACAUUCUUUAUUCUUUUUUAAAAUUUUAUAUUAUUUUUAAUUUAUUUUCUACACUCCAUAUUCCAUUUCCUACCCCACCCCCAUCUGCCUUCCAACUGCUCCACAUCCCACACCUCUUCCCCACCCCACCCUGUCUCCAUGUGAAUGCCCCCACCCCCACUCCACAUGACCUCUAAACUUCCUGGGGCCUCCAGUCUCUUUGAGGGUUAGGUGCAUCAUCUCUAAAUGAACACAGACCCAGAAGUCCUCUACUGUAUGUGUGUUGGGGGCCUCCUAUCAGCUGGUGUAUGCUGUUUGUUUGGUGGUCCAGUAUUUGAGAGAUCUCAGGGUUCCAGAUUAAUUGAGACUGCUGGUCCUCUUAUAGAUUGCCCUUUCCUCAGCUCUUUCAGCCACAACAACAGGAGUCAGCUGCUUCUGUCUUUGGUUGGGUGCAAAUAUCUGCAUGACUCUUUCAGCUGCUUUUUUGGUCUUUCAGAGUGCAGUCAUGGUAGAUCCCUUUUUGUGAGCGCUCCAUAGCCUCAGUAAUAGUGUCAGGCCUUAAGACACCACCACCACCUCCCCUUUGAGGUGGAUCUCACUUUGGGCCUGUUGCUGAACCUUCCCUUCCUCAGGCUCUUCUCUAUUUCCAUCCCUGUAAAUUUUUUAGACAGGAACAAUUAUUGGUCAGAGAUGUGACUAUGGGAUGACAACCCCAUCCCUCACUUGAUGUCCUGUCUUUCUGCUGGAGGUAGGCUCUAUAAGUUCCCUCUCCUUACUGUUGGACAUUUCAUCUAAGGUCCCUCCCUUUGAUUACUGAGAGUCUCUUACCUCCCAGGUCUCUGGUGCAUUCUGGAGGGUCCCCCCAACCUCCUAUUUCCUGAGGUUGCCUGCUUCAAUUCUUUCUUCUGGCCCUCAGGGCUUCAGUCAUUUUUCCUCACCCAAUACCAGAUCUGACUUAAAAGUCUAUGUCUUUUUAUUGGGAGAAUGGAGUCUGUUGAUGUUAAGAGAUAGUAAGGAAAAUGAUUGUUCCUUUCUGCUCUUUUCGUUGUUAGAGGUAGAAUUAUGUUUGUGUGGCUAUUAUCUUUGGGGCUUUUUGAAAGAAGAUUACUUCUUGCUUUUUCUAGGGAGUAAUUUCCCUCCUUAUGUUGGAGUUUUCUACCUAUUAUCCUUUGUAGCGCUGGAUUUGUGGAAAGAUAUUCUGUAAAUUUGGGUUUGUCAUGUAAUAUCUUAGUUUCUCCAUCUAUGGUAAUUGAGAGUUUCACUGGGUAUAGUAGCCUGGGCUGGCAUUUGUGUUCUCUUAGGGUCUGUAUGACAUCUGUCCAGGAUUUUCUGGGUUUCAGAGUCUGGUGAGAAGUCUGGUGUAAUUCUGAUAGGUCUGCCUUUAUAUGGUACUUAACAUUUUCCCCUUAUUGCUUUUAAUAUUCUUUUUUUGUUUUGUGCAUUUGUUGUUCUGAUUAUUAUGUAUCGGGAGGAAUUUCUUUUCUGGUCCAGUCUAUUUGGAGUUCUUUAGGCUUCUUGUAUGUUCAUGGGCAUCUCUUUCUUUAGGUUAGGGAAGUUUUCUUCUAUAAUUUUGUUGAAGAUAUUUACUGGCCCUUUAUGUUGGGAAUUUUCAUUCUCUUCUUAUUAUCUUUAGGUUUGGUCUUCUCAUUGUUUCCUGGAUUUCCUGGAUGUUUUGGGUUAGGAGUUUUUUGCAUUUUGUAUUUUCUUUGAUUGUUGUGUCACUGUUUUCUAUGGUAUCUUCUGCACCUGAGAUUCUCUCUUCCAUCUCUUGUAUUCUGUUGGUGAUGUUUAUGUCUAUGACUCCUAAUCUCUUUCCUAGGUUUUCUGUCUCCAAGCUUGUAUCCCUUUGUGAUUUCUUUAUUGUUUGUAUUUCCAUCUUUAGAUUCUGGAUGGUUUUGUUCAAAGUCUAGCUUCCUCCUGAUUCUGUGAUCUGGGGCAUUUCAGAGCACCUGGGAGUUGGGUCCCUCUGGGUGUUGUAAGAGUGGGUGCAGAGCCAGUACCCCAGGUCUGCUCCAGGUGCAGGUUCAGACCAGAAGGAACCCGUGCCACUGGGCUGACUAGGGUUCCUAUGUCCCUGGAUCCUGUGGGACCAGUUACUCUGGGUAUUGGGACAGAUGUUGUGGUCUCUUCACCUGUUAUCCUAGGCAUUUUAGAGCACCUGGGAGUCAACCUUUCUCCAGGUUUAGGUUUCUAAUAUUAACUAUUUCUGUUAUUUUUUUUAAAAAAUCCCUCUUUGAUGGUUUUAAUUUAGAAAUCUAACAAAUUAGGUAAUUUUAACU